rnacentral:lncRNA from 1 species
UUCUUCUUCAUCGAUCAAGGAUGGGUUCUAGGCCGGCAGCCUCGGAUAGCAAGGAUGGACGUCGUUCUUCUUUUCUCGUUUGGUUUCCUCCGUAGUCGGACCCUGCUCUUCUUCAUGAUGAUUAUGUAUUGUACUGAUGUGACUCUGAUGUAGCUUGUGGCAAGUGUAAGUGUUAGGUCAUAUUUAUGCCUAAGUAAUUUUGGUGAUUGAUGACAGUACCGUAAAGGACUAAUC